rnacentral:lncRNA from 13 species
GGCAUAAAAUGUUUAACAAGACCCUGCUCACACUCGUAGGGCUGAGAAUCAGAGCACAGUGAGGAAGAGGAGCAAGGAAGCACUGGGACCGCAGAGCUCCUUCCAGCCUACAGUAGGGCCCAGAGGGCGCCCUCGCCUCGAGGCGGGAGCAGCGAGUCCCCGGCGAGUCUCCAGCCCUGCGCCAGCGCAGGUGGGCGAGGCGGGGCUGGUGGGCGGGGCCUAGAAAGGCGGGGCCUCUGGGGGCGGCCCCAGGGCGGGCCCCGCGGGGGCCAGGGCUGCAGGCGCAGCUCCCCAGCGCCUAGAGCGCCGCACGGGGCGGGAGGUUGGCGGACGAGGAGCGGCAGGGCAUCUUCCUGCGCCUCCGGGCCAGACGCCCACUCCAGUGAUGUUCUUCAUUUCAAGAUGCCAUUGCAGUUCCGACAAAUGCAAACUGACAACGUUCAAGGCCACAACGGAGGAAAAAUCAUUGGUGCUUGGAGCGUAGAAGACUGCCCUUCACAAAGGAAAUCCCUAAUUAUUGUUUGAAAUGCUGAGGAAGUUGCUGCGAAGGAGACUUUUUUCUUAUCCCACUAAAUACUACUUUGUGGUUCUUGUUUUUUCCCUAAUCACCUUCUCCGUUUUAAGGAUUCAUCAGAAGCCCGAAUUUGUAAGUGUCAGACACUUGGAACUUGCUGGGGAGAAUCCUAGUAGUGAUAUUAAUUGCACCAAAGUUUUACAGGGUGAUGUAAAUGAAAUCCAAAAGGUAAAGCUUGAGAUCCUCACAGUGAAAUUUAAAAAGCGCCCUCGGUGGACACCUGAUGACUAUAUAAACAUGACCAGUGACUGUAAUUCUUUCAUCAAGAGGCGCAAAUAUAUUGUAGAGCCCCUUAGUAAAGAAGAGGCAGAGUUUCCAAUAGCAUAUUCUAUAGUGGUUCAUCACAAGAUUGAAAUGCUUGACAGGCUAUUGAGGGCCAUCUAUAUGCCUCAGAAUUUCUAUUGCAUUCAUGUGGACAAAAAAUCCGAGGAUUCCUAUUUAGCUGCAGUGAUGGGCAUUGCUUCCUGUUUCAGUAAUGUCUUUGUGGCCAGCCGAUUGGAGAGUGUGGUUUAUGCAUCGUGGAGCCGGGUUCAGGCUGACCUCAACUGCAUGAAGGACCUCUACGCAAUGAGGGCAAACUGGAAGUACUUGAUAAAUCUUUGUGGUAUGGAUUUCCCUAUUAAAACCAACCUAGAAAUUGUCAGGAAGCUCAAGUUGUUGAUGGGAGAAAACAACCUGGAAACGGAGAGGAUGCCAUCCAAUAAAGAAGAAAGGUGGAAAAAACGGGACAAGGGGAGUCAGAGGCAGAAGAGAAGGUGCCGUGAUGACAGAAGCAGAGAUCUGAGUGAUUUACGUUGA